rnacentral:rRNA from 1 species
GACGAACGCUGGCGGCGUGCCUAAUACAUGCAAGUUGAGCGAUGAAGAUUGGUGCUUGCACCAAUUUGAAGAGCAGCGAACGGGUGAGUAACGCGUGGGGAAUCUGCCUUUGAGCGGGGGACAACAUUUGGAAACGAAUGCUAAUACCGCAUAAUAACUUUAAACAUAAGUUUUAAGUUUGAAAGAUGCAAUUGCAUCACUCAAAGAUGAUCCCGCGUUGUAUUAGCUAGUUGGUGAGGUAAAGGCUCACCAAGGCGAUGAUACAUAGCCGACCUGAGAGGGUGAUCGGCCACAUUGGGACUGAGACACGGCCCAAACUCCUACGGGAGGCAGCAGUAGGGAAUCUUCGGCAAUGGACGAAAGUCUGACCGAGCAACGCCGCGUGAGUGAAGAAGGUUUUCGGAUCGUAAAACUCUGUUGGUAGAGAAGAACGUUUGUGAGAGUGGAAAGCUCAUCAAGUGACGGUAACUACCCAGAAAGGGACGGCUAACUACGUG